CAAAUUGUUUAAUUAUUUGAAUUACAAUACAAAGAGAUAGACCUAUUACAAAAUACACUCACCCACGGUCUUAUUAUGUUUAAAAUUCUUCAUUUACAAUAAAAGAAAGUUGAUAGUUAGAUAUGCAUAGAACAAAGAACAUAAAUAAAUAAAAAAAUAAUAAAAAGAUAAUUUAUAUAGUUUAACAACUCUUUGCAUGAUUCUAUUCAUAUUUCCUACUUGAUGAGGGUCAGAACUCGAUCCGAGAAUUUCAUUAAAUGCACUCUGACUCUUGAGAAAAUAUAUGCGUGAGAGCAUUGAAUCGUUGCUACUUUUUACUAUUGGUCCAUCUAAAAAUAAAUUAAAUUUAGACUUUGGACAAAAAAUAAACAAUCUUCGUUAGAUUUAAAGUUAUAUCGGUAGAAAUGCUUUUGAUUUUUGAAAAGCUAGAUCCAAUAAAGAAAAAUAUUGAUAGGAGUUAUUUAGGGUGAUUUCUAAACUUCUCACUGUACGUCAAAUUUUCCUUUCCCAUCAUAAAUCAAAAUAUUACUUUUCUCGUCUGCGUUUUGCAGCAUCCCCACUACCCAGCGAGGCUAAAGCAAGAGCUUUGGAAAUAAAUAAAAUUAGUCUGAUCAUUGCCCAAUUUAAAGAGAAACAAAAGAGCUUUGGCCUUUGCGUUUACAUGAAAGAGAAACGAUCUCCAUGUUAAAGCCAUUGUCCCCUGAGAUUUAUCAUCAUAUCCAAGCAUGGAAAAAAAAAAAAAACAAAUACGGAGCAUAUAUAGUCAUGAUUCUGUUGGAAUAAAGUUAUCAAAGGAAACGUAAAUGCUCCUUAAUUUUUAUCAACAAUCUCCCUCAGUAACAUUGUAUAGUAUUCCCUAAUACGACAAUUAUGUGUUUCACCAGCUCCAAGUUGUUCUAUCAAAAGGGUUCCCUUAAAUACAUUUUCUUACGAUUCCUGAUUUGAUGUUGUUGCCUCCUAUUUCUUGAAUUUAAUAUUCUUUUUUUUAAUAAUAAUAAUAAUAAUUAAUCACGAAGCUUUUAAAUGUACGUACACACAAAUAGAAUAUCAUAGUUGUUUUCAUUUUUUCAGAAAAAGAAAUAAUAAUAAAUGGCUUCAUUAAGCUGGUUCUUUAGGAUUUAGAAAAAGGGGGGAAAGAAAAAUGAAAAAAAUUGGUCGCGAUACACUAGUUAAAGUCUGUAUUGAUCACCGUUUGCUUAUGUUUAGCUCACUGGUUAUCAUUUGGACAAAUGAUAUUUGGCAAAAUCUUGUCCAUUUUAUGUUCUUCGACUUAUUUGGGUGUAAUAACAUGUAUUUUUAAGAUAAACAUAACAGCAAUGAAAGGCGUCCCAAUUGAUAUCUAAUUAUAUGUGUCACUUAUGUAUCAAAUAAUAAAUUUUAUAAGUUAAAAGAUAAGAAAAACACACACUCUAAGCAAUGUAUUUCGUCAUGUAAUAUAUUACAAUUUACAAUUUUUUUUUGUAGCACUGAUUUCAUCAAG
rnacentral:lncRNA from 1 species